AUUGAACGCUGGCGGCAGGCCUAACACAUGCAAGUCGAGCGGAUGAAGGGAGCUUGCUCCUGGAUUCAGCGGCGGACGGGUGAGUAAUGCCUAGGAAUCUGCCUGGUAGUGGGGGAUAACGUCCUGAAACGGGCGCUAAUACCGCCUACGUCCUGAGGGAGAAAGUGGGGGAUCUUCGGACCUCACGCUCUCAGAUGAGCCUAGGUCGGAUUAGCUAGUUGGUGGGGUAAAGGCCUACCAAGGCGACGAUCCGUAACUGGUCUGAGAGGAUGAUCAGUCACACUGGAACUGAGACACGGUCCAGACUCCUACGGGAGGCAGCAGUGGGGAAUAUUGGACAAUGGGCGAAAGCCUGAUCCAGCCAUGCCGCGUGUGUGAAGAAGGUCUUCGGAUUGUAAAGCACUUUAAGUUGGGAGGAAGGGCAGUAAGUUAAUACCUUGCUGUUUUGACGUUACCAACAGAAUAAGCACCGGCUAACUUCGUG
rnacentral:rRNA from 1 species